UCAGAUAAAUCCAUCUCGUCUGAACAAGUGUAAGAGAUAGCCAGGGUCUCCUUAGGGAGACCCCCUUGGGGUACCCCGGCCUUGAGCCGGCCCCUACAUUUUUCAAGAUCUGAAAAGCUCCUUUAACAGGUUUUGAAGAUGAACGAGACAGAGAGAAUUCCAUCACUCCUGUCACUGUACUCCGUCCUGGAGGAUUUCAGGGUGGAGGAUACAGAUUUUGAGGCCCUCGCCUCUUAUUACG